UCGUCAGGUUGAAUGAUUCUUACCUGUUCUUCUAUUAGGGGAGCAGAUAGAACAUGAUGAUUGGAGUCGUCAUGAUUAGUGAUUAAUGCCUGUGUGUUAGGGCUCACAACACCCUAAUUGCUCCUAUCUGGU